rnacentral:rRNA from 1 species
CAGGCCUAACACAUGCAAGUCGAACGAUGAAGGAGGAGCUUGCUCCUCUGGAUUAGUGGCGAACGGGUGAGUAACACGUGAGCAAUCUGCCCCUGACUCUGGGAUAAGCGUUGGAAACGACGUCUAAUACCGGAUAUGAGCCGAGCAGGCAUCUGCAUCGGUUGGAAAGAACUUCAGUCAGGGAUGAGCUCGCGGCCUAUCAGCUAGUUGGUGAGGUAAUGGCUCACCAAGGCGACGACGGGUAGCCGGCCUGAGAGGGUGACCGGCCACACUGGGACUGAGACACGGCCCAGACUCCUACGGGAGGCAGCAGUGGGGAAUAUUGCACAAUGGGCGCAAGCCUGAUGCAGCAACGCCGCGUGAGGGACGACGGCCUUCGGGUUGUAAACCUCUUUUAGCAGGGAAGAAGCGAGAGUGACGGUACCUGCAGAAAAAGCACCGGCUAACUACGUGCCAGCAGCCGCGG